GGGGGCGGGCGGAGGUGGCUCGGGCCGCGCCGAGGGGACCACGGGACGCCCUCCUUCCCUUCUCAGGAAACUGCUGGAGUGCAGUGACGGGAUCUCAGCUCAUUGCAACCUCCACCUCCUGAGUUCAAGCGACUCUUACCAUGUUGGCCAGGCUGGUUUCGAACUCCUGACCUCAGUUGAUCCACCCACCUCGGCUCCCAAAGUGCUGGGAUUACAGAUGUGAUAUGCUUACUUUUAAUGAAGAGUGGACAGUGAUGGAGAAGUAUGACUAUUGGACAAAAACGUUACAGGAAUGGGGUCCCAAUCCAGACCGCAAGAGAGGGUUCUUGGAUCUCAAGCAAGAAAGAAUUCGGGGUGAGUCCAUAGAGUAAAGUGAAAGCAAGUUUAUUAGGAAACAAAAGGAAUAAAGAAUGGCUACUCCAUAGAGCAGCCCCGAGGGCUCCUGGUUGCCCAUUUUUAUGGUUAUUUCUUGAUGAUAUGCUAAAUGGGGGGUGGAUUAUUCAUGCCUCCCCUUUUUAGACCAUGUAGGGUAACUUCCUGACGUUGCCAUGGCAUCUGUAAACUGUCAUGGUGCUGGUAGGAGUGUAGCAGUGAGGACGACCAGAGGUCACUGUUGUGGCCAUCUUGGUUUUGGUGGGUUUUGGCUGGCUUCUUUACUGCAACCUGUUUUAUCAGCAAGGUCUUUAUCACCUGUAUCUUGUACCAACCUCCUAUCUCAUCCUGUGACUUAGAAUGCCUUAACCAUCUGGGAAUUCAGCCAAGUAGGUUUUAGCCUCAUUUUACCCAGCUCCUAUUCAAGAUGGAGUGGCUCUGUUUUACAUGCCUCUGGCAAAAGGAUCUGAUCUAAUGAGAAUAAACUGCGGGAACUUAGCAGGGCCUGUUUGUUCAGAUUCUUCUGUGUCCCUGCAUGUUCAGAGUUAAGGAUAUUCUCUUCCUCCUGGUAUAGGGAGGGCGCCUCUGGAAUGAGGGUCCCCUGACCUGCUUCAGGGUAAGGUCAGAGAGUCCUUCCGAGGUUUUAUGGCCUAUGCUAAAGAAGAACCAUGAGGGUAAGGUGAAAGUGACCUUCUUACUUAAAUUGUUUUCUCAAAUGCCACAGUUCCAUAUUUUGGUGGAAUGUUUUCUGAACCCCAUCAGGAAAAGCAAAGCAAUGAGAAAACAAUCUGGGGGGACAAGACAAGGAGAUAUAACAGAUGGGGGAGGUUUGUGGUUGACUACAUCACUCUUGGAGGCAUUCGACCGAGGAAUAUUUCAGAAUCUCUGGUAACACACACCAGGAACAGCCUAAUCUACUCCCUAAAAGGAGUCUAGUUCAUUACUGAGUUUAUGGCUUCCCUACAUUUCCCUGUUUCUGACCACAACCAUUUUUUUUUUUUUUUCUGGAGACUGGGUCUCCCUCUGUCGCCCAGGCUGGAGUGCAGUGGCGCAAUCUCGGCUCACUCCAACCUCCGCCUGUCGGGUUCAAGCGAUUCUCCUGCCUCAGCCUCCCGAGUAGCUGGGAGUACAGGCAUGCACCACCACGCCCAGCCAAUUUUUAUAUUUUUAGUAGAGAUGGGGUUUCACCAUGUUGGCCAGGCUGGUCUCAAACUCCUAACCUCAGGUGAUCCCUCUGCCUCGGCCUCCCAAAGUGCUGGGAUUACAGGCGUGAGCCACCAUGCUCACCUCCCCCGCCUGCCCAAUUUUUUUUUUUUUUUAAUUAGCCAGGC
rnacentral:lncRNA from 1 species